AGCUUCGCGCAGCGGCGAUAUCGUACCCAAUGAGGAGCAUUCGAAGUGCGAUUAUUGCUAAUUGAAAAAACACAAAUGAUUACUAAGCCCUCGGUAGUCCUACGUCAACCUUGCGGUUAUAUCAUUGAUAUAACCCAUCCAUAGUU